rnacentral:rRNA from 1 species
AGUGAACGCUGGCGGUAGGCCUAACACAUGCAAGUCGAACGGCAGCACAGUAAGAGCUUGCUCUUACGGGUGGCGAGUGGCGGACGGGUGAGGAAUACAUCGGAAUCUACUUUUUCGUGGGGGAUAACGUAGGGAAACUUACGCUAAUACCGCAUACGACCUACGGGUGAAAGCAGGGGAUCUUCGGACCUUGCGCGAUUGAAUGAGCCGAUGUCGGAUUAGCUAGUUGGCGGGUAAAGGCCCACCAAGGCGACGAUCCGUAGCUGGUCUGAGAGGAUGAUCAGCCACACUGGAACUGAGACACGGUCCAGACUCCUACGGGAGGCAGCAGUGGGGAAUAUUGGACAAUGGGAGCAAGCCUGAUCCAGCCAUACCGCGUGGGUGAAGAAGGCCUUCGGGUUGUAAAGCCCUUUUGUUGGGAAAGAAAAGCAGCAGGUUAAUACCCCGCUGUUCUGACGGUACCCAAAGAAUAAGCACCGGCUAACUUCGUG